rnacentral:rRNA from 1 species
ACUCCUGCGGGAGGCAGCAGUGGGGAAUUUUGGACAAUGGGCGAAAGCCUGAUCCAGCAAUGCCGCGUGAGUGAAGAAGGCCUUCGGGUUGUAAAGCUCUUUUGUCAGGGAAGAAACGGUGAAAGCUAAUAUCUUUUGCUAAUGACGGUACCUGAAGAAUAAGCACCGGCUAACUACGUGCCAGCAGCCGCGGUAAUACGUAGGGUGCAAGCGUUAAUCGGAAUUACUGGGCGUAAAGCGUGCGCAGGCGGUUUUGUAAGUCUGAUGUGAAAUCCCCGGGCUCAACCUGGGAAUUGCAUUGGAGACUGCAAGGCUAGAAUCUGGCAGAGGGGGGUAGAAUUCCACGUGUAGCAGUGAAAUGCGUAGAUAUGUGGAGGAACACCGAUGGCGAAGGCAGCCCCCUGGGUCAAGAUUGACGCUCAUGCACGAAAGCGUGGGGAGCAAACAGGAUUAGAUACCCGGGUAGUCCCAUG